rnacentral:lncRNA from 1 species
AAAUCCCAGCUAUUCUUUAGGGUCUGUGAGGUCUGAGAAGUCCAUCUUUGUGUCAGAAACUGUGGGAUAAGCUAAAGGGGGAGUGGGUCAAACAUUUUCACAGUUUAAUAGUAUCAAGGAGAUCGGAUUGCUCAUUUCUUUUCUCUUUAGUGAUAGAAAUCGACAGAGAUACGUGGUUCUAGGGCCUCUUCUUAGAGAGGAUGUGGCAGCAGAUGGAGAUCCUCUUUCUUGGAACUGGAGAGGAAACAGCUUGGAAGUUCUGCAGGAGCCAGAGACCUAAUGGGUACCUGGAGUGCAGCAGCAUGGACUGGCAGAGGAGGCACAAGAAAGACGAGUAUCAUCGAAAGAGGCAGUGCCAGUGGAACCCGAGGAACACAGACAGCCUCCUGGACUCUCAUUGGUCUCCAGGAAUAAAAACUCAGGCGCUUGUCUUCUAGUCUCUUCUCAGCCAGUGAGGAGAAAGAACACUGGACAAAUGCUAUAGGUGACUGGUUUAAAUUAAUAUUUAUCACAGGACCCGUGUGCACGCGCGUGCGCAUGCACACACACUCACACACACAUACACACACAUACAAGGAAAGUCUAACACCGGGAGAGGUGUUUUUGCUAUUGUUACUGCUACUGUUUUAUUUUAAACAUUAUCACUCGGAAGCAAGCAAGCUUUACUGUCUUCAGUCACUCAGGGCUAACAUUUAUAUCUUGUGUCCUUUAAGACCUGUUUUUGAAACUGCUUUCUCUAAAUCCCACAGUCAAGCUUGUAACAUGCAAUCAAUCAAUCAAUCAAUCAAUCAAAUAAAUAAAUAAUUUAAAUGU